CGCCCAGAAGGUGGAAUCGAACCCCACUCCGCUUUUAAACGGCUACAGGUUUGAAGCCUGCACCCCGAACCACCGAAGUUCAUCUGGGU